rnacentral:rRNA from 1 species
CAGCCGCCGCGGGAAUACAGAGGCCUCAAGCGUUGUUCGGAUUCAUUGGGCGUAAAGGGUGCGUAGGCGGUUCCGUAAGUCGGAUGUGAAAUCUUGGGGCUCAACCUCAGGACUGCAUUCGAUACUGCGGGGCUAGAGGACUGGAGAGGAGAGUGGAAUUCACGGUGUAGCAGUGAAAUGCGUAGAGAUGUGGAGGAACACCAGUGGCGAAGGCGACUCUCUGGUCUGUAACUGACGCUGAGGAGCGAAAGCGUGGGGAGCGAACAGGAUUAGAUACCCCUGUAGUCCCUGUCUCUUAUAA